GACGAACCGUGCGAACGUUGUUCGGAAUCACUGGGCUUAAAGGGCGCGUAGGCGGCUAGCCAAGUCCGGGGUGAAAGCCCCCAGCUCAACUGGGGAAGGGCCUCGGAUACUGGCGAGCUCGAGGGAGGUAGGGGUCGAGGGAACUUCUGGUGGAGCGGUGAAAUGCGUUGAUAUCAGAAGGAACGCCGGUGGCGAAAGCGCUCGACUGGAUCUCUACUGACGCUGAGGCGCGAAAGCUAGGGGAGCAAACGGG
rnacentral:rRNA from 1 species